rnacentral:rRNA from 1 species
GAUGAACGCUGGCUACAGGCUUAACACAUGCAAGUCGAGGGGAAACGACGGGGAAGCUUGCUUCCCCGGGCGUCGACCGGCGCACGGGUGAGUAACGCGUAUCCAACCUGCCUCUGACUGAGGGAUAACCCGUCGAAAGUCGGCCUAAUACCUCAUGGUAUCGUCUGCGGGCAUCCAACGACGAUUAAAGAUUUCAUCGGUCAGGGAUGGGGAUGCGUCUGAUUAGCUUGUUGGCGGGGUAACGGCCCACCAAGGCUACGAUCAGUAGGGGUUCUGAGAGGAAGGUCCCCCACAUUGGAACGGAGACACGGUCCAAACGCCUACGGGAGGCAGCAGUGAGGAAUAUUGGUCAAUGGGCGAGAGCCUGAACCAGCCAAGUAGCGUGCAGGAAGACGGCCCUAUGGGUUGUAAACUGCUUUUAGGCGGGGAUAAAGUGAGGGACGGGUCCCUCAUUGCAGGUACCGCAUGAAUAAGGACCGGCUAAUUCCGUG